AUAAGCAAGAUUGUUCCUGAGAGUGGUUAAGGGUUUUGAAGAAAACAAAAGAGGGAAAUGUGGUAAAGAAUGGAAUGGCUGGGAUGAGGGAGUCCCCCUUCAAAGAAAGUGAUCCAGGAAGGCCUCUCUGAGGAGGUGACAUUCAGCUGAGAUCACAAGAUGAGAAGGAGCCAGCUUUACAGAUGGGGGCGUUCUCAGGAGAAGGAGUAGCCAGUGCAAAGCUCCUGAGGUGGAGAGACUUGGAGCUGUUCAAAGCACAGCAAGAGGACUAGACGGAGCUGGAGCACAGGAUGAACAGGAAAGUGAUAGAGACGAGGCUGGGGAAGCGGAGACCAGAUCACGGAGGACCCAGAGUUCCAGGCCUUGUGGUUUUGUUUCUGGAGAAUGAGGCCAUUGGGUGGAGUUGAUGUUAAGGAAUCCCAAGGAGUAAAGUAGGAGGCCUGUGGGAAAGGAGAUGAAAACCAGCCAAGUACCCAAGUCCUGUUGCAAAAA